rnacentral:misc_RNA from 1 species
UGCUCUCCGGAGCUAUCCAGUGGGUUCCUAUCCGCGAUAAAACUAGUAACGGUGUGCAUUCCGGACCCGACAUUCGCGCCGUGUGUUUGCCUCGUGCUCAAUAUUGUCGUAAACUGAAUUUUUAUUGACCAUUUUUAUUAUUAUUGCGUCGUAACAAUAACCAUUAUUUUUAAUAUUGAAUGACAAUUUCGGCACGUUAGUGACUCAUUUAAUCCGCAUUAUGAAGAUGUUAUCUCGCUUUAGUGACACCAGUGCCUGACUUGAAAAAUAAACAAACCACCGACAUUCAGUGCUUGUGAACUUAGUGAACUUGUGUUAUUUUUUUAAUCGUUAAAAGGACAUCCCUCAGUUUUUGAGGGAUCAUUACACAUCAGCCAAAAUUAACGCGACAAUAAUGAACUCCUACUUCGAACAAAGUGGUUUCUACGGAGGCCACCACCACCAGGGUUCCGGUUCCGUGACGGGAGCCCAUCACCAUGACCAUCAAAGUGCAGCUGCUGCAGCUGCCUACAGAUCCUUUCCUCUUAGUCUAGGUAUGUCUCCAUACGCCUCCAGUCAACACCAUCACGCACAUUCUCUUCACCAAGCUCGACCUCCACAAGACUCUCCAUACGACGCCUCGGUCGCAGCAGCUUGCAAAUUAUACUCAUCUUCUUCAGACGGCCAACAGAAUUCAGUAAACUACAGUUCAUCCACAACAAAAUCAGACUGUUCAAAAGGCAAUGCGGAUCAAAAUGGUUACGCUUCAGUGGUGGCAGCAGCCGCUGUAAAAGACGUUUGGCAAAGUGCUACAUCCGGUGCUGGUGCAAAUCUUUCAAAUAGUCUCACAGGCCCAGUUCGCCCGGCGGCUUGUACUCCAGACUCUAGAGUCGGUUACGGUUCUUCAGUUGGACUCGUUGGAGGAGAUCCGUCUUCUAGUCCCGGAGCAGCGACAGGAGGAAGGACGUCGAACUCCUUAUCCUCAUGGAACAACCCUUGUUCUUUAAACUCAUCAUCAUCUCAGCCCGUUGGUACGCAGAUCCAUCAACAGACGAAUCACACAUUCUACCCUUGGAUGGCAAUAGCAGGAGGUGGCGUGCUAGGUGCAAAUGGCCUUCGGCGAAGAGGCCGCCAAACGUAUACGCGAUACCAAACGCUCGAGCUCGAGAAGGAAUUCCACACGAACCACUACCUUACCCGGCGGAGACGAAUCGAAAUGGCGCACGCGCUCUGCCUGACGGAACGACAGAUCAAAAUCUGGUUCCAGAACAGGCGAAUGAAGUUAAAGAAGGAGAUCCAAGCCAUCAAAGAGCUCAACGAACAAGAGAAGCAGGCGCAGGCGCAGAAAGCCGCGGCGGCCGCUGCCCAAGUGGUGGUGGAGCAGAAUUAGUGGCUGCAAGGGGAGAUUCCUAGGGAGGAGCAACACAUCCUGCAGGCCUAAGACUCCCUGGCAAUGCCUCAGGCGUCCGGAAACAGGAAGUGUUGCCAACCACACCAGGAAUUUCCACUAAAUCGGAUCAGCCACCAAGGAUAUACGUACUUCAACCAAAAGGGGACUCUCCAUUGUGAAAACUGUGUAUACUCUAGUGUAUAGUAUAAUAUGUAUACAGGAUGUUAUUUAAAACACAAGACAAUUCCUACUAUAAAAUAAUGAAGUUCUCUAUUGUACCUAUUUUUUCUUAGACAGCUUUUACUUUAUUAAUAAAUAUAUUAAAUAUUAUUUUUCGAGGCUUUCCGAAGGUUAAUACUCUUAAUGAUUAACUAAUUGUAAUUACAGUGGUUUAUUUCUUGUUUUACUUUUUUAUACUGUUUUGAAUUCACUAGAUUCUAAUUAGCAACAAUAUCAAAAUAUCUACUCCACAGUCUAGAAAGUUCCAAAACUGCGUCUGCUACUUUUAUAAGAAUCAUCAAUCUGAUCGACAGGCAAAGAUAAAUGGAAAACUAACGCAGUUUAUACCAGUACAAAGCGGAGUCAGACAACGUGACUCAUUAAGCCCACUGCACUCUUUA